CUCGUAGGCGGUUCGUCGCGUCCGGUGUGAAAGUCCAUCGCUUAACGGUGGAUCCGCGCCGGGUACGGGCGGGCUUGAGUGCGGUAGAGGAGACUGGAAUUCCCGGUGUAACGGUGGAAUGUGUAGAUAUCGGGAAGAACACCAAUGGCGAAGGCAGGUCUCUGGGCCGUCACUGACGCUGAGAAGCGAAAGCGUGGGGAGCGAAACA
rnacentral:rRNA from 1 species